rnacentral:rRNA from 1 species
AUUGAACGCUGGCGGCAGGCCUAACACAUGCAAGUCGAACGGUAACAGGAAGAAGCUUGCUUCUUUGCUGACGAGUGGCGGACGGGUGAGUAAUGUCUGGGAAACUGCCUGAUGGAGGGGGAUAACUACUGGAAACGGUAGCUAAUACCGCAUAACGUCGCAAGACCAAAGAGGGGGACCUUCGGGCCUCUUGCCAUCGGAUGUGCCCAGAUGGGAUUAGCUAGUAGGUGGGGUAACGGCUCACCUAGGCGACGAUCCCUAGCUGGUCUGAGAGGAUGACCAGCCACACUGGAACUGAGACACGGUCCAGACUCCUACGGGAGGCAGCAGUGGGGAAUAUUGCACAAUGGGCGCAAGCCUGAUGCAGCCAUGCCGCGUGUAUGAAGAAGGCCUUCGGGUUGUAAAGUACUUUCAGCGGGGAGGAAGGGAGUAAAGUUAAUACCUUUGCUCAUUGACGUUACCCGCAGAAGACGCACCGGCUAACUCCGUG